rnacentral:rRNA from 1 species
UUAAGCGACCAAGCGUACACGGUGGAUGCCCUGGCAGUCAGAGGCGAUGAAGGACGUGCUAAUCUGCGAUAAGCGCCGGUAAGGUGAUAUGAACCGUUAUAACCGGCGAUUUCCGAAUGGGGAAACCCAGUGUGAUUCGUCACACUAUCAUUAACUGAAUCCAUAGGUUAAUGAAGCGAACCGGGGGAACUGAAACAUCUAAGUACCCCGAGGAAAAGAAAUCAACCGAGAUUCCCCCAGUAGCGGCGAGCGAACGGGGAGGAGCCCAGAGCCUGAAUCAGCAUGUGUGUUAGUGGAAGCGUCUGGAAAGGCGCGCGAUACAGGGUGACAGCCCCGUACACAAAAGCGCAUAUGCUGUGAGCUCGAUGAGUAGGGCGGGACACGUGGUAUCCUGUCUGAAUAUGGGGGGACCAUCCUCCAAGGCUAAAUACUCCUGACUGACCGAUAGUGAACCAGUACCGUGAGGGAAAGGCGAAAAGAACCCCGGCGAGGGGAGUGAAACAGAACCUGAAACCGUGUACGUACAAGCAGUGGGAGCACAGGUUUACCUGUGUGACUGCGUACCUUUUGUAUAAUGGGUCAGCGACUUAUAUUCUGUAGCAAGGUUAACCGCAUAGGGGAGCCGAAGGGAAACCGAGUCUUAACCGGGCGUUAAGUUGCAGGGUAUAGACCCGAAACCCGGUGAUCUAGCCAUGGGCAGGUUGAAGGUUGGGUAACACUAACUGGAGGACCGAACCGACUAAUGUUGAAAAAUUAGCGGAUGACCUGUGGCUGGGGGUGAAAGGCCAAUCAAACCGGGAGAUAGCUGGUUCUCCCCGAAAGCUAUUUAGGUAGCGCCUCGUGAAUUCAUCUCCGGGGGUAGAGCACUGUUUCGGCUAGGGGGCCAUCCCGGCUUACCAACCCGAUGCAAACUGCGAAUACCGGAGAAUGUUAUCACGGGAGACACACGGCGGGUGCUAACGUCCGUCGUGAAGAGGGAAACAACCCAGACCGCCAGCUAAGGUCCCAAAGUCAUGGUUAAGUGGGAAACGAUGUGGGAAGGCCCAGACAGCCAGGAUGUUGGCUUAGAAGCAGCCAUCAUUUAAAGAAAGCGUAAUAGCUCACUGGUCGAGUCGGCCUGCGCGGAAGAUGUAACGGGGCUAAACCAUGCACCGAAGCUGCGGCAGCGAACGUAUCACUUAAAACGAUUCAGAAGCUUACGAUUGACGGAGCGAAGCGACGUCAAAGCGUAUACAAAGUCGAGUCGGUUUAAGGAUACGUUCGUUGGGUAGGGGAGCGUUCUGUAAGCCUGCGAAGGUGGCCUGUGAGGGUUGCUGGAGGUAUCAGAAGUGCGAAUGCUGACAUAAGUAACGAUAAAGCGGGUGAAAAGCCCGCUCGCCGGAAGACCAAGGGUUCCUGUCCAACGUUAAUCGGGGCAGGGUGAGUCGACCCCUAAGGCGAGGCCGAAAGGCGUAGUCGAUGGGAAACGGGUUAAUAUUCCCGUACUUGGUGUUACUGCGAAGGGGGGACGGAGAAGGCUAUGUUGGCCGGGCGACGGUUGUCCCGGUUUAAGCGUGUAGGCUGACUUUCCAGGCAAAUCCGGAGAGUCAAGGCUGAGGCGUGACGACGAGGCACCACGGUGCUGAAGCAACAAAUGCCCUGCUUCCAGGAAAAGCCUCUAAGCAUCAGGUAACAUCAAAUCGUACCCCAAACCGACACAGGUGGUCAGGUAGAGAAUACCAAGGCGCUUGAGAGAACUCGGGUGAAGGAACUAGGCAAAAUGGUGCCGUAACUUCGGGAGAAGGCACGCUGACAUGUAGGUGAAGUGGUUUACCCAUGGAGCUGAAGUCAGUCGAAGAUACCAGCUGGCUGCAACUGUUUAUUAAAAACACAGCACUGUGCAAACACGAAAGUGGACGUAUACGGUGUGACGCCUGCCCGGUGCCGGAAGGUUAAUUGAUGGGGUCAGCGCAAGCGAAGCUCCUGAUCGAAGCCCCGGUAAACGGCGGCCGUAACUAUAACGGUCCUAAGGUAGCGAAAUUCCUUGUCGGGUAAGUUCCGACCUGCACGAAUGGCGUAAUGAUGGCCAGGCUGUCUCCACCCGAGACUCAGUGAAAUUGAACUCGCUGUGAAGAUGCAGUGUACCCGCGGCAAGACGGAAAGACCCCGUGAACCUUUACUAUAGCUUGACACUGAACAUUGAGCCUUGAUGUGUAGGAUAGGUGGGAGGCUUUGAAGCGUGGACGCCAGUCUGCGUGGAGCCGGCCUUGAAAUACCACCCUUUAAUGUUUGAUGUUCUAACGUGGACCCGUUACCCGGGUUGCGGACAGUGUCUGGUGGGUAGUUUGACUGGGGCGGUCUCCUCCUAAAGAGUAACGGAGGAGCACGAAGGUUGGCUAAUCCUGGUCGGACAUCAGGAGGUUAGUGCAAUGGCAUAAGCCAGCUUGACUGCGAGCGUGACGGCGCGAGCAGGUGCGAAAGCAGGUCAUAGUGAUCCGGUGGUUCUGAAUGGAAGGGCCAUCGCUCAACGGAUAAAAGGUACUCCGGGGAUAACAGGCUGAUACCGCCCAAGAGUUCAUAUCGACGGCGGUGUUUGGCACCUCGAUGUCGGCUCAUCACAUCCUGGGGCUGAAGUAGGUCCCAAGGGUAUGGCUGUUCGCCAUUUAAAGUGGUACGCGAGCUGGGUUUAGAACGUCGUGAGACAGUUCGGUCCCUAUCUGCCGUGGGCGCUGGAGAACUGAGGGGGGCUGCUCCUAGUACGAGAGGACCGGAGUGGACGCAUCACUGGUGUUCGGGUUGUCAUGCCAAUGGCACUGCCCGGUAGCUAAAUGCGGAAGAGAUAAGUGCUGAAAGCAUCUAAGCACGAAACUUGCCCCGAGAUGAGUUCUCCCUGAGACUAUAAGUCUCCUGAAGGAACGUUGAAGACGACGACGUUGAUAGGCCGGGUGUGUAAGCGCAGCGAUGCGUUGAGCUAACCGGUACUAAUGAACCGUGAGGCUUAACCUU